rnacentral:rRNA from 1 species
AUUGAACGCUGGCGGCAGGCUUAACACAUGCAAGUCGAACGAGCGGCGGACGGGUGAGUAAUGUCUGGGAAACUGCCCGAUGGAGGGGGAUAACUACUGGAAACGGUAGCUAAUACCGCAUACCAUCGGAUGUGCCCAGAUGGGAUUAGCUAGUAGGUGGGGUAACGGCUCACCUAGGCGACGAUCCCUAGCUGGUCUGAGAGGAUGACCAGCCACACUGGAACUGAGACACGGUCCAGACGCCAACGGGAGGCAGCAGUGGGGAAUAGUGCACAAUGGGAGCAAGCCUGAUGCAGCCAUGCCGCGUGUAUGAAGAAGGCCUUAGGGUUGUAAAGUACUUUCAGCGAGGAGGCGUUACUCGCAGAAGAAGCACCGGCUAACUCCGUGCCAGCAGCCGCGGUAAUAC